UACGUAGGGGGCAAGCGUUGUCCGGAAUCAUUGGGCGUAAAGCGCGUGUAGGCGGUUUGGUAAGUCCGCUCUGAAAGUCCGGGGCUCAACCCCGGGAGGCGGGUGGAUACUGUCAGACUAGAGUGCGGAAGAGGCGAGUGGAAUUCCCGGUGUAGCGGUGAAAUGCGCAGAUAUCGGGAGGAACACCAAUUGCGAAGGCAGCUCGCUGGGACGUGACUGACGCUGAGACGCGAAAGCGUGGGGAGCAAACAGG
rnacentral:rRNA from 1 species